rnacentral:tRNA from 9 species
UGGGCCGUAGCCAAGUGGUAAGGCAUCGGAUUUUGAUUCCGACAUGCGAAGGUUCGAUCCCUUCCGGCCCAG